rnacentral:lncRNA from 1 species
CAAUGGGCGCGUAUCUGUCAAAUGUACGGUUAAAGGGUUAUUCCGCAUUUUUUGCCGAUUCGCACACAUUGGAAUUUCGCUAACUCCUCCGAAGGCUUUCGUUCCACCGGCACCACAUUUGCUCAGGCCAAAUUACACCCCAUGGCCAUUAAAAGUUAUUCAAAUCAUGACGCUGCACCCCACGGUUUACGUUCUAGGGGGCGCCAAAGAUAACCCAAAAAUCCAAAUUUUUAAAAGUCUUAUAACUUUUUAUUUUUGUCCUCACUGGCCUCCAAGUUUUCUAGGAUGAUGCAAUGUCCAGCCAUCAACACAUUUGUGAAGGAAUUUUUACUCCCUAAAAGAGCGCCCCCCCAUGGCAGGAGAAAAAAGUCCAUUUUUUCUUGUCCCCUAAGGUGAAAAUACACAUUGUUGACUGUCACGCCUGUACGCUUUGGCAAAAUGACACAAAAAUUGACAAUCAUGUGUAUCUCAAUUAGAUCUACGAAAAAGUCAACAGCGCGUAUCUGUAUAAUGUACGGUAAAAGGGCUAUUUUGCAUUUUUUGCCGAUUCGCACAUAUUGGAAUUUCGCUAACUCCUCCUAAGGCUUUCGUCCCACUGACACCAAAUUUGCUCAGGCCAAUCUACACUCCAUGGCCAUUCAAAGUUGUAAAAAUCAUGACGCGGCACCCCACGGUUUACGUUUUAGGGGGCGCCAAAGAUGACCCAAAUAUACAUUACAGUAGACAAAGUAGUUUUGCCCACUUAGUGGCGCCAAAGGGACUUGUCUGUGGAGUCUGUGAGUCACUAUUGGCCGUUUUUGACUACUUUAGAUUUUACCUUUAUAUUUCCUCUUACAAAAUUUUUACCUUGCCUUGCCUGGUAUAAUUUUUUUCAGCACAACCUCACCUGUGUCAAUUUACAGUUAUUUUAUCAUUUUGACAUACUAUAUUUACACAUUGGACCCAAAUUCACACACAAAACAUAAAAUCCGAGUGGAAAAAAGUAACGUUUUUACUGUGAAAACCACAAAUAUGUGUGAUGAACUGUUUUUAAAACUUAAACUUCAAAUAAAAAUUGUAAACUUCAAAACAUAUGCAAAUUUUUAACAAAGAACAUAGUAAUUUACCUCUAUUUACAUCAAAAUGCAGGCAAUGGCCCAGGCGUUCUUUGUAAAAUUAUUUACAAAACACUGUAUAGUCUCACAAAUGUCACUUUUUAUUUAUGCCACUACAAAAAAACAUGAUGUAAAUGAUGCAUGAUGUAAAACAUGAUGUAAAAAACUUGUGUAGAUCCUCCUCUAUGUCAGUCCAUGUGUAAUUUUUCCAUAAUUCUUUGUUUUUUGCAGCAUUUUUGUUAGUGUAACUGCAGAUUGUGCUGACAGUGUCUAUGGCAAAAAAAAAAAAAAAAACUGAAAAUGCCUCAACAUGAACCCCUGGUGGUCUCUGAGGGUGAAACCUGCUAACUGCUGCAGCUCUGUCAGCUUCAGUCUCCCAUGCAGAGCUCGGAGCGCAUGUGUGGCUCUGCACCCUUAGCAGCAUUGCUAACUCCUCAGUAAGGAAAGCCUGCUUCAUGUCAGAGUCUCUAAACUCCAGAAGAAGUCGAUAAAAGUCACUUUCUUUCUAAAAAAACGUCGUUAGGGGGUCUGAAAAGUCAUUGAAUCUAACAACAAAGUCGCUAGGUUUGCAACUACGUGUCCCAGACUGCAUCCCUGCUGAGAGUCCCUCCCUCCCUUCUCAUAUUGCAGGAAGAACGUAAGCGCCCGCCCCUUGUCAAUCAGUCACCAUAUAAUUUUGGAUUGGUUGUUGUGGUGAAGUUUUCCACCAAUAGGAGAGAUGUUGUGGUGUGUUUUUUUUUUCCUUUGGCAAGCCUUUUCCGCCUGUAAGACCUGUCGCUAAUGUCUGCAUGCUAUGUUUUCCUGUCUCAUACAGCGCGAUCGAGCGCCGAACGUGAUCAAAAUAAGCAGAAAACAAGUAUCGCGGACAUAAUUUAUCAUAACUCUGGUUUUAUUUGGCCUAUCAACACAAUUUAAAAACUGGUAUAUAGGUUGAGGUCCUCACUUUUGAGAUAAGUUGAAACGGAGAGUCAACGAGGCUCCGUCUUGCAGCUACAUCCGGUUAAAUAUGUCAUGUGACUUGAACACACACACACACACACACACAGACACACACACACACACACACACACACACACACACACACACACACACACACACACACACAACCACACUCAGAGUCUGGUUUUUAGCACCUGCAAAAACAUGCUAUUUACAUAUUUGACAAGAAUGCAGAGGCUCCUUUUGCCCCUGAAAAAAAUCAAAUUUCAAACACAACUUGACUGGUCAUUUCUCCAAAAGACAACCAUGAAGCUCCAUCCAAACCUGAAGCAGGCAGUUGGUGCAUGUGUACAGUAACCUGAGGGGAGUGAGGUGACUGCUUCUGAGGAGAACAUGAGCAGUGAAGAUUCACCUUAGAGCUAGAACAGAGACGUGCACAUGAUUAUACAGGGGCAGGGGCUCAAGUUUUUUCCAGUUGUUUAUACAAUAUGGAAAUUAAUGUGAAAUUAAAAAACAAAGUAUUAAUAGAAAGGUAAUGACUGUCCUGUGUAGGUGACAGUGAUAUCCAAUAGGCUAGGCACUCACGAGGCUGGCUGUGGCAAGUGUAAGUGAAAGCAACACGCACUGGCAGGAAGAACAGCAAACGCCGAUGAAGGAAAAGGGUCUUUGCAGUGAUGGGCGUUACCAGAGAGGGCGAUGGCCAGAGGACACAAAUGGGACGGGGAGGCAGCGCGUUGGGGGGGGGACGCGACACAGCUCGGGCCCGCCAGUGCCCCAACGGGGUCCUAGUUAGGGCCCGAGCGUAGCUGCUAAGCAGCUGCGAGAGCCCUCUUGUUCCUGUAGUUUCCUUCUUUUGUUAUUAUUAGGGCCCGAGCCAGCUGCAGAGCAGCCGGGCGUAGGCCCUAUUAUUCCCCAAGUGGUUUUUCUUUGUUUCUUUCUUUCUUUCUUUCUUCUUUUUCCUCCCCUUUGAACUGGAAAAUGGCCCACUUCCCACUGGCGAAAACUCAUGAAAUUUGGCAGGACGACCGGGCCUGGUGAAAAAUUCGAUAUUCUGAAGUCACCCAAACAAUAAAAUGCAAAAUGGCUCCAUAGCGCCCCCUAAGGUGGAAAUUCACACUAUUGACUGUCACGCCUGUACGCUUUGUCAUAUUGAACCAAAAAUUGACACACAUAUGUAUCUCAAUAAGAUCUACAAAAAAGUCAGUGCGGACGUAUCUGUCAAAAUUACGGUUAAAGGGUUAUUUCGCAUUUUUUGCCGAUCCGCACACAUUGGAAUUUCGCUAACUCCUCCGAAGGCUUUCGUUCCACCGGCACCACAUUUGCUCAGGCCAAUCUACACCCCGUGGCCAUUAAAAGUUAUCAAAAUCAUGACGCUGCACCCCAAGGUUUAGGUUCUAGGGGGCGCCAAAGAUAACACUAAAAUCCACAUUCUUAAAAGUCUUAUAACUUUUUAUUUUUGUCCUCACUGGCCUCCAAGUUUUCUAGGAUGAUGCAAUGUCCAGCCAUCAACACAUUUGUGAAGGCAUUUUUACUCCCCAAAAGAGCGCCCCCCCAUGGCAGGAGAAAAAAGUCCAUUUUUUCUUGUCCCCUAAGGUGAAAAUACACAUUGUUGACUGUCACGCCUGUACGCUUUGUCAAAAUGACACAAAAAUUGACACACACAUGUAACUCAAUAAGAUCUACAAAAAAGUCCAUGCGCGCGUAUCUGUCAAAUGUACAGUUAAAGGGUUAUUCCGCAUUUUUUGCCGAUACGCACACAUUGGAAUUUCGCUAACUCCUCCUAAGGCUUUCGUUCCACCGGCACCACAUUUGCUCAGGCCAAUCUACACCCCAUGGUCAUUAAAAGUUAUUCAAAUCAUGAUGCUGCAUCCCAUGGUUUAGGUUCUAGGGGGCGCCAAAAAUAACCCAAAAAUCCACAUUCUUAAAUGUUUUAUAACUUUUUAUUUUUGUCCUCACUGGCCUCCAAGUUUUCUAGGAUGAUGCAAUGUCCAGCCAUCAACACAUUUGUGAAGGAAUUUUUACUCCCCAAAAGAGCGCCCCCCCAUGGUAGGAGAAAAAAGUCCAUUUUUUCUUGUCCCCUUACAUAAAAAUACACAUUGUUGAGUGUCACGCCUGAACGCUUUGUCAUAUUGACACAAAAAUUGACAAUCAUGUGUAUCUCAAUUAGAUCUACGAAAAAGUCAAAGAGCGCGUAUCUGUAUAAUGUACGGUUAAAGGGCUAUUUUGCAUUUUUUGCCGAUUCGCACACAUUGGAAUGUGGCUAUCUCCUCCUAAGGCUUUCGUCCCACUGAUACCAAAUUUGCUCAGGGCAAUCUACACCCCAUGCCCAUUCAAAGUUGUAAAAAUCAUGACGCUGCACCCCACGGUUUACGUUCUAGGGGGCGCCAAAGAUGACCCAAAAAUCCACAUUCUUAAAAGUCAUUUUGGCCACUGCAGGAGUACAGAGUACUGCAGUUCUAGGGGGCGCCAAAGAUGACCCAAAAAUCCACAUUCUUUAGAGUCUUUUUGGCCACUGCAGGAGUACAGAGUACUGCAGGAUACACACACAUAUACACACACGCCAACAUACACACACACACACACACACACACACACACACACACACACACCCACACUCAGAGUCUGUUUUUUAGCACCUGCAAAAACAUGCUGUUUACAUAUUUGACAAGAAUGCAGAGGCUUCCUUUUGCCCCUGAAAAAAAUCAAAUUUCAAACACAACUUGACUGUUCAUUUCUCCAAAAGACAACCAUGAAGCUCCAUUUCAAACCUGAAGCAGAUAGUUGGUGCAUGUGUACAGUAACCUGAGGGGAGUGAGGUGACUAUUUCUGAGGAGAACAUGAGCAAUGAAGAUUCACCUUGGAGCUAGAACAGGGACGUGCACAUGAUUAUACAGGGGCAGGGGCUCAAGUUUUUUCCAGUCAUUUAUACAAUAUGGAAAUUAAUGUGAAAUUAAACCACAAAUAUGUGUGAUGAACUGUUUUUAAAACUUAAACUUCAAAUAAAAAUUGUAAACUUCAAAACAUAUGCAAAUUUUUAACAAAGAACAUAGUAAUUUACCUCUAUUGACAUCAAAAUGCAGGCAAUGGCCCAGGUGUUCUUUGUAAAAUUAUUUACAAAACACUGUAUAGUCUCACAAAUGUCACUUUUUAUUUAUGCCACUACAAAAAAACAUGAUGUAAAUGAUGCAUGAUGUAAAACAUGAUGUAAAAAACUUGUGUAGAUCCUCCUCUAUGUUAGUCCAUGUGUAAUUUUUCCAUAAUUAUUUGUUUUUUGCAGCAUUUUUGUUUGUGUAACUGCAGAUUGUGCUGACAGUGUCUAUGGCAAAAAAAAAAAAAAAAAAAACUGAAAAUGCCUCAACAUGAACCCCUGGUGGUCUCUGAGGGUGAAACCUGCUAACUGCUGCAGCUCUGUCAGCUUCAGUCUCCCAUGCAGAGCUCGGAGCGCAUGUGUGGCUCUGCACCCUUAGCAGCGUUGCUAACUCCUCAGUAAGGAAAGCCUGCUUCAUGUCAGAGUCUCUAAACUCCAGAAGAAGUCGAUAAAAGUCACUUUCUUUCUAAAAAAAAGUCGUUAGGGGGUCUGAAAAGUCAUUGAAUCUAACAACAAAGUCGCUAGGUUUGCAACUACGUGUCCCAGACUGCAUCCCUGCUGAGAGUCCCUCCCUCCCUUCUCAUAUUGCAGGAAGAACGUAAGUUCCCGCCCCUUGUCAAUCAGUCACCAUAUAAUUUUGGAUUGGUUGUUGUGGUGAAGUUUUCCACCAAUAGGAGAGAUGUUGUGGUGUGUAUUUUUUUUCCUUUGGCAAGCCUUUUCCGCCUGUAAGACCUGUCGCUAAUGUCUGCAUGCUAUGUUUUCCUGUCUCAUACAGCGCGAUCGAGCGCCGAACGUGAUCAAAAUAAGCAGAAAACAAGUAUCGCGGACAUAAUUUAUCAUAACUCUGGUUUUAUUUGGCCUAUCAACACAAUUUAAAAACUGGUAUAUAGGUUGAGGUCCUCACUUUUGAGAUAAAUUGAAACGGAGAGUCAACGAGGCUCCGUCUUGCAGCUACAUCCGGUUAAAUAUGUCAUGUGACUUGAACGCACACACACACACACACACACAGACACACACACACACGCACACACACACACUCAGAGUCUGGUUUGUAGCACCUGCAAAAACAUGCUAUUUACAUAUUUGACAAGAAUGCAGAGGCUCCUUUUGCCCCUGAAAAAAAUCAAAUUUCAAACACAACUUGACUGGUCAUUUCUCCAAAAGACAACCAUGAAGCUCCAUCCAAACCUGAAGCAGGCAGUUGGUGCAUGUGUACAGUAACCUGAGGGGAGUGAGGUGACUGCUUCUGAGGAGAACAUGAGCAGUGAAGAUUUACCUUAGAGCUAGAACAGAGACGUGCACAUGAUUAUACAGGGGCAGGGGCUCAAGUUUUUUCCAGUCGUUUAUACAAUUUGGAAAUUAAUGUGAAAUUAAAAAACAAAGUAUUAAUAGAAAGGUAAUGACUGUCCUGUGUAGGUGACAGUGAUAUCCAAUAGGCUAGGCACUCACGAGGCUGGCUGUGGCAAGUGUAAGUGAAAGCAACACGCACUGGCAGGAAGAACAGCAAACGCCGAUGAAGGAAAAGGGUCUUUGCAGUGAUGGGCGUUACCAAAGAGGGCGAUGGCCAGAGGACACAAAUGGGACGGGGAGGCAGCGCGUUGGGGGGGGGACGCGACACAGCUCGGGCCCGCCAGUGCCCCAACGGGGUCCUAGUUAUUAUUUUUCCUCCCCUUUGAACUGGAAAAUGGCCCACUUCCCACUGGCGAAAACUCAUGAAAUUUGGCAGGACGACCGGGCCUGGUGAAAAAUUUGAUAUUCCGAAGUCGCCCAAACAAGAAAAUGCAAAAUGGCUCCAUAGCGCCCCCUAAGGUGAAAAUUCAAACUAUUGACUGUCACGCCUGUACGCUUUGUCAAAAUGACACAAAAAUUGACACACACAUGUAUCUCAAUAAGAUCUACAAAAAAGUCAGUGCGGGCGUAUCUGUCAAAUGUACGGUUAAAGGGUUAUUUCGCAUUUUUUGCCGAUCCGCACACAUUGGAAUUUCGCUAACUCCUCCGAAGGCUUUCGUUCCACCGGCACCACAUUUGCUCAGGCCAAUCUACACCCCAUGGCCAUUAAAAGUUAUUCAAAUCAUGACGCUGCACCCCACGGUUUAGGUUCUAGGGGGCGCCAAAGAUAACCCUAAGAUCCACAUAUUUAAAAGUCUUAUAACUUUUUAUUUUUGCCCUCACUGGCCUCCAAGUUUUCUAGGAUGAUGCAAUGUCCAGCCAUCAACACAUUUGUGAAGGAAUUUUUACUCCCCAAAAGAGCGCCCCCCCAUGGCAGGAGAAAAAAGUCAAUUUUUUCUUGUCCCCUAAGGUGAAAAUACACAUUGUUGAGUGUAACACCUGUACGCUUUGGCAAAAUGACACAAAAAUUGACACACACAUGUAUCUCAAUAAGAUCUACGAAAAAGUCAAUGCGCGCGUAUCUGUCAAAUGUACGGUUAAAGGGUUAUUCCGCAUUUUUUGCCGAUCCGCACACAUUGGAAUUUCGCUAACUCCUCCGAAGGCUUUCAUUCCACCGGUACCACAUUUGCUCAGGCCAAUCUACACCCCAUGGCCAUUAAAAGUUAUUCAAAUCAUGACGCUGCAUCCCACGGUUUUGGUUCUAGGGGGCGCCAAAGAUAACCCUAAAAUCCACAUAUUUCAAAGUCUUAUAACUUUUUAUUUUUGUCCUCACUGGCCUCCAAGUUUUCUAGGAUGAUGCAAUGUCCAGCCAUCAACACAUUUGUGAAGGAAUUUUUACUCCCCAAAAGAGCGCCCCCCCAUGGCAGGAAAAAAUAGCCAAUUUUUUCUUGUCCCCUAAGGUGAAAAUUCACACUAUUGACUGUCACGCCUGUACGCUUUAUCAUAUUGACACAAAAAUUGACACACAUAUGUAUCUCAAUAAGAUCUACAAAAGAGUCGAUUCGCGCGUAUCUGUCAAAUGUACGGUUAAAGGGCUAUUUUGCAUUUUUUGCCGAUUCGCACACAUUGGAAUGUGGCUAACUCCUCCUAAGGCUUUCGUCCCACUGACACCAAAUUUGCUCAGGCCAAUCUACACCCCAUGGCCAUUCAAAGUUGUAAAAAUCAUGACGCUGCACCCCACGGUUUACGUUCUAGGGGGCGCCAAAGAUGACCCAAAAAUCCACAUUCUUAAAAGUCAUUUUGGCCACUGCAGGAGUACAGAGUACUGCAGUUCUAGGGGGCGCCAAAGAUGACCCAAAAAUCCACAUUCUUAAAAGUCUUUUUGGCCACUGCAGGAGUACAGAGUACUGCAGGAUACACACACAUAUACACACACGCCAACAUACACACACACACACACACACACACACACACACACACACACACACACACACACACACACUCAGAGUCUGGUUUUUAGCACCUGCAAAAACAUGCUGUUUACAUAUUUGACAAGAAUGCAGAGGCUUCCUUUUGCCCCUGAAAAAAAUCAAAUUUCAAACACAACUUGACUGUUCAUUUCUCCAAAAGACAACCAUGAAGCUCCAUUUCAAACCUGAAGCAGAUAGUUGGUGCAUGUGUACAGUAACCUGAGGGGAGUGAGGUGACUAUUUCUGAGGAGAACAUGAGCAGUGAAGAUUCACCUUGGAGCUAGAACAGGGACGUGCACAUGAUUAUACAGGGGCAGGGGCUCAAGUUUUUUCCAGUCAUUUAUACAAAAUGGAAAUUAAUGUGAAAUUAAACCACAAAUAUGUGUGAUGAACUGUUUUUAAAACUUAAACUUCAAAUAAAAAUUGUAAACUUCAAAACAUAUGCAAAUUUUUAACAAAGAACAUAGUAAUUUACCUCUAUUUACAUCAAAAUGCAGGCAAUGGCCCAGGCGUUCUUUGUAAAAUUAUUUACAAAACACUGUAUAGUCUCACAAAUGUCACUUUUUAUUUAUGCCACUACAAAAAAACAUGAUGUAAAUGAUGCAUGAUGUAAAACAUGAUGUAAAAAACUUGUGUAGAUCCUCCUCUAUGUCAGUCCAUGUGUAAUUUUUCCAUAAUUCUUUGUUUUUUUGCAGCAUUUUUGUUAGUGUAACUGCAGAUUGUGCUGACAGUGUCUAUGGCACAAAAAAAAAAAAAAUUAAAAUGCCUCAACAUGAACCCCUGGUGGUCUCUGAGGGUGAAACCUGCUAACUGCUGCAGCUCUGUCAGCUUCAGUCUCCCAUGCAGAGCUCGGAGCGCAUGUGUGGCUCUGCACCCUUAGCAGCGUUGCUAACUCCUCAGUAAGGAAAGCCUGCUUCAUGUCAGAGUCUCUAAACUCCAGAAGAAGUCGAUAAAAGUCCCUUUCUUUCUAAAAAAAAGUCGUUAGGGGGUCUGAAAAGUCAUUGAAUCUAACAACAAAGUCGCUGGUUUGCAACUACGUGUCCCAGACUGCAUCCCU